rnacentral:ncRNA from 1 species
AUAAAGGGCCAGAGAAAGCUGAUCUAAAAAGGUGGAGUGAACCUCCAUCUAGUCUUCUAUUAGAAGGCAAAACCUUCAAAUUGCGGGGAGUUCUUAAAGACAAAUCUACCAAGUUAAUACAGUAAUGUGUUGAUGGAACAGGUAAUGACUCGUUGUAUGGUAAAAACGAUUUGUAUGAAGAAAUGAAAUAGAAUAUCUGCAGCCAACCACCCAAAAAUUUGGGUGUGCAGUUCAUCGACUAAAUGUAGGUUGGUUUAUAAUAUAUUAUUAUAUAGUUUAAUUUUAUAUUAUUUGCUUAAGAUAUAGU